ensembl:lncRNA
UGCAGCCAAACCCUAAUUGUGUGUUCGUGUGUCUGCAUUUUUUUCCCCCCACUUGACAUGAAGAAGGAAGCUUCAGCGAGCAUUUGUUCUCUCAGGGUGUAAAUGGAAGUUGUGGACCUUUGGAGUGGAUUUGUUUGACUGAAAAAAAGAAAGUGGAAGGGACUGAAUCUAGCUGGGAGAAAUUACUAUAGUUUGGUUGCCAUGUGGCGCUGCUGGAUGAACUUCAUCUUGGCCUGGGUAUCCAUGGCAACCCCGACACUCUGCCAAAGUGGAGACGGUGAUUGGGGUUCAGGAUUUGACAUCUCCUCCACAAUAAUGGCCACCAAUGACACGUUGCAGGCGGUCGGUGACGAGCCGGUAAAAACCAGCCGUGACUGGACCCCAUUAGCUCCGUCGCCGUCGCCCGUCCUCCACUUUGAGCCCCAACCGGACAAGUGCUCCGUCUAUUUCAACACUAACGCAGCGUCAGCUCGGAGGCUGAAGGCCCAGAGGGAGGAGCUGGACUACCUGAGGGCCAUACAGCACGGAAACAAGGCGGUGAUGGAGAACCUGGUGCAGUAUGUGGGGGCGGAGCUAGGCGACCAGAGCUACGAAGACGUGAUCAAGGAAAACGUCAUGGGAACCCAAGAGGACCACAAGAGCUGCCAUGAGGUGGUGGAGAAGGCUGAGGAAGAUCUGGAGAAGCAGCUGGAGGGGGAUGUGCUGUCCUCCCUCGCUGGGAUGCAGAACAGGGGUGUCAAAUAUAUGGCCCGCCAGCCAAAACCAGCCCACCAGAGGGUCCAGUCCGGCCCGCGAGACGACUUUGCAAAGUGUAAAAAUUACAGAGACAUCAACUGCAAUUUUUCAAUACAAGUAACUGCUAUUUUGAAUUUGCCCACUGCACUGCC